UUAAAGCUCCUGAAAAUGUGACCAGAAACAUGUUUGUGCAACAUCACAACUUUUAUCAACAAAAAACAAGAGCAGCUUUUCUGCUGGGAUGAGAAAUGUUUCACCCGACUGUAUGAGCAAUAAACUGUGUAAGUCAUUCCAGAACUAGAGGACAUUUGGGCUCAAAAUGUUUGAAAAAUAAACCUUCACUUUUACAGUUUUCUGCUCCAUAUUGAUCAAUAAUAGGUAAUAAACUAUCAAAGGCUUGAUUGGCUCAGCUCACACAUCAAUGGUAGCAUUUUUAUUCCUUGUUUUCUGUGUUGUCUGCUAACCCUACUAUAAUCACAGUAACAGGGUUGCUAAUCCAUGCUAAUGUGAUCUUUUUCUCAGCAGUAGAAGCUAGAUAUUUAGCUGCUGUUACUGCUGACCAAGAGGACAAACUGACUGAUGGAAAACAGUCAAAAGAAUUAGUCUGAUCUUGAUAAUAUGAGGUAGAGUGAGACGUUCAAUAAAGGCUGACAAUGGGAUGAAAAUAUGAAAAAUAGAAGAUCGCUUUGCUCUACCCAUUCUUUAGGAGAACUGUUAGACAAUGUAAAUGACCAAAACAAGACAGAAAACACAAAAACAAGACAUUAAAUGACAAAAAUGAGGCAGAAAAUGACAGAAAUGAGACAAAAGGACAAAAAUGAGACAAAACAACAGAAACGAGACACAAAACAAAAAUAAGACAAAAUGACAAAAACAAGACAUAAAAUGAAGGAAAUUAGACACAAAAUGACAGAAACGAAACAGACAACAAAAACAAGACAAAAGACAAGACAAAACGACAGAAAUGAAACAGAAAACGACAGAAACAUUAACAGGUUGUGCUAGCAUCGUCUAAAAAAUGCCAUAGAAUAAUAUUUCAUUGCACAAGUAAAAGUAUAGUAAUUUUUAAAACUGUUCAAAUUCUUAUAAUAUGUUGCUAAAAAAAAAACUGCAAAAAAAACUAAAACAAAAAAAAAUGUCAUAGUAAUAUGUCAAUUAAAAAAGCCAAUAGUAUAGCAUGUCGCUCUAAAAACGUCAUAGUUUAGCCUUUAGUCCACAAAACGUUAUGUUCCGGCUGUCUGAAGUAGGUGAGUAGCAACACAAAAACAGUCCAAACGCUGGUUUCCAGAGGGUUAGACGAGAAUUUAUUUGAAAGAGUAAGUUUACAACAACACAACAUGUGAGGGGGUUACAAACAAAUGGGUGUUAGUAAAAUAAAAAUAAAUCAACAGAACUAAAAGUGAACUUCAUGUUGACAUUGAUGGGCAUUCCAACCAGGAACAAAGUAAAAGAUAAUCAAUACGAAAAAAAACUCUUCCUGUUCACCUCUUAAAACCCAAAAACACACCGCAGUAGCACCCUAAACUAAAACUACCAAUGGGUUCCCUGUUUUCCUUUGUGAACAAUUCAAAGGUCCCUCUCUAUCUCCCCACACAUCCACCAACCACUGGAACACAUCUCCAAAGUUCUGCUGGACCAGCUCAGCUUCCCCUCAGAAGAAGUGCUGCCACCUGCCAGAUGAAGGAGCCUUUUGAGAGGCCGCUGGCAUCGUGAUUGGACUGUACUUUGGUCUGUUCCAAUCCAGCUUCAGCUCCAGAGACGGCAGGUGGGACGAGUCAACGGAGGCCUGGUGGACGAAGACAUGGAGCUGAGUACAAUCUAGAAAACAACAGAGGAGGAGUGCAGCAGCCCAGAGCCAGAACAACCAGAGUAGCAUCACUAAAGAACUACAGACUCUUCACAACCUGCUCAAACUCUUGGUACAGGACCUCACCACACGGGUCAAGAAGGUUUCUGUCUCAUUUCUACUCUGAAGCUCACCUUCUCCUGCUCAAACUGCUGACAAAUGUUUCUGCUGCUCUAAAGUCUGGUCUCCAGAACUUCCUAAAAACUCUCAAAGUCUCUUCUGCUGCAGGUUGCUUUGUAGAACUGUUGCAGAAAACCUCACUAAACCACAUGGAGGGGCCUCAAGAUAGUCGUCCAAAUGAAACCAUACAAAAACCAAACUAGCACAACCCAAACGCUAAAGUCUCCUGCAGCCUACCAGAGAACCUCUGAGAACAGAGAAUCAGGACAGGAACUCUUACCUUCUGGACAACCAACGUUGGUUCACAAACAAGAAUACAGAAUGUGUCUGACCAAAAACCUCUGAAGACUCACUACAGCCAAGAUAAAGACACAACUCAGCUGCACCAAAUCCACUAAUCACUGCACACAUUAGCACCAUGUGCUAACUGUGGCUAAAGAACCUCAUUUACCAAGACAACUAUCCAGUACAAAGCCCUAAAACACACCAAGAAACACAUUAAAGACGAUUUUACUGCUGGAAGCUGCAAGCCAACGCCUAAAGAACAAACUAAAGCAAUGGAACCAAACCCAGUUCACUGGUGAAGAAAAGCAGAGGAAAUGUUUGUCUGCAGCUAAAUAAAGCAGGAAGACACUGAGCUGCUCAGGUGUUCCUGAUAACACCAAGCAGCCACCUGGACAGCCAAUAGGAACACAGCUUCCUGGAAGUCCAGAGGGCUGGAUGAAGCUCCUGAAUGCUGCUCCUCCUGGAAAAGAUGCCGUUUCCCAGCUGCUCUCUGCUGCCACCUGCUGGUUAAGGGCGACCUCUUCAUGACAGCUGACAGUGCAUCAGUAAAAUAAAAAGUCAUACGGCAGAAGAUACCCGAAGCUGCCGGAGCGACAGCGCUGCCUCCGGCUCCCUGCAGCGCCACCUGCAGGAGGGAGGCUGGACGCCGCCUCCGAAGAGUGGAAGUAGGAAGAACGAAAGAGCAGAGCGGAGAAACGAGCGGCGGCGCCAUCAGGAGACGGGGGAGGACAAACGGGGAGGACGGGGCCGAUGGAGGGGUGAGACAGGGAGGAGGACAGAGGGGGAGGGUGAGGCACGGGGAGGAACUCCAGCUGGCCAAUCGAGCGGCUGCGAUUCUGCCUGCCGCUGGGGGGGCGGGACGACGUGGCCUGGCCACACCCAUCCUGCUGAGACAAGCCCCUCCCCUCAACCAACCUCUGAGAGCUGAACGCCAGAGCGGGGUCUCCCAUCCGUGGUCGCAGGGGCAUCAGGCUCUGGGCUGCAGGAGAUGGAAAGGUGUUCAGCGUGAAAAGGUGAAGACGAAAUCUUCCAGAAAACAUCCAACCAGAAGACGCUGAGGAAGAGGAGGAGAAGCUGCACAGAAACCCUGAGGGAGUUUGGAGGAGCUCGUCAAUCGCAGGACGCCGUGAUCUGAUUGGGUAGUUCCUACAGAGGUAUGAGCCAAUCAGAGAGGGGGAGAAGCUAAGGAGGGAGGGGCCAACCGGAUUGUUUCCAUGGUGGCUGGGUAUCUGUCAUGCCGCCCAGAGGCCAAAGGUCGCUGACUCGCCGGUCCAUCUGCCACGCUGCGUCUGGAGGGAGCCAAUCAGGAGAGACAUGCUGAGACAAGACGGCCAAUCAGAGGAGGAGGCGGCGAAGCCCACAGCUGAGACUUACACUGCAGCGUCCCGGGAGACAGGAUGUCCUCGUCCAUGUCGUCCAGGUCGUCUGAGAGCAGGAGGUGCUGAGGGGUCGGAGGUCUCAGGCCCAGGAAGGACGGGUCCAGGUUCAGGGCGGCGGCCAGCGCUCCCACCCCCGGGUUGUUGACCAGACAGAAGCCGGUCAGAGACUCGAUCUGCUGCCAGCGGUGGAGCUUCUCCUUCAGCGCCGCCGUCACCUCGGCCAGGGCCUGUCUGAGGGGGGACGGGCGUUAGCUGCUGAGCUACCUGUACAGAGAGGAUCUUGUGGUCGACGUCAUCCAGCGAGGAGCUGUGAGCCACAUGGAACGUUCCAAACAGAGAGCUCCUCUUCUUCUUAAUCUUCUCUGCCUGAAACAUCAUCAGAGUCAGCGGUGUGUCCGAACCUCAGCAACUCCUCCAAAACCCCCAGUUCACUGGAGAUACAACUAACAGCUGAUGUCCACAACAGCUGCCUCUCAGCGCUCUGCUUCUUGAUGUUGUAGUACUGAACUUCGAUCUCGUGCGUCAGCUGCAGCCACUUCUGCAGAGCGUCCGGCGGCAGCCAGCGAACCCGUGACUCCAGCUCCCUCUCCGCCUUCCUCAGCGCCGUGCGGACCUGCGAUGGAGGACACAGAGCCGGUUAAUCGAUCCAUCGGUCAAUCGGUGGCGAACGCAUCGAUCGGGUCCACCUGCUCCAGCUCCUCCUCUGCGUAUUUCUGCCGGCUCCUCUCGUUCUCGGUUCCCUCUCGGAGCUCGCGGAGCCGAUGAGCUUCCUGCUUGGCUGAGUUGAUCUCGCUCCUCAGCUCCUCCUCCACCUUCACCUUCUCCACCUGGACGCUGCGCUGCUCCUCCUGCGCCUGCUGCAGCCUGACAGGAGACAACGGUCCAGUAGACUCUGCUCAGCCCUCUGUAGACCCUCCAGGUCCUUCAUCAGCUUCCCCAGGUCGUCUCUGGACUUCCGGGUCUGGACGUAGGCGAACCAGCAGCCACCCAGCGCCAUGAGGAUGGACAUGGCCAGAAC